rnacentral:rRNA from 1 species
AUGGCUCAGGAUGAACGCUGGCGGCGUGCCUAAUACAUGCAAGUCGAACGAGGUGGAAGGGAGCUUGCUCCUGGAUACCGAGUGGCGAACGGGUGAGUAACACGUAGGUAACCUGCCCUUAAGCUUGGGAUACCCAGAGGAAACUUUGGCUAAUACCGGAUAACAACAGAGAAGGCAUCUUCUUUGCUUGAAAGGCCCCUUCAAGGGUCACUUAAGGAUGGACCUGCGGCGCAUUAGCUAGUUGGUGAGAUAACAGCCCACCAAGGCGAGGAUGCGUAGCCGAACUGAGAGGUUGAUCGGCCACAUUGGAACUGAGACACGGUCCAAACUCCUACGGGAGGCAGCAGUAAGGAGUUUUCGGCAAUGGGGGAAACCCUGACCGAGCAACGCCGCGUGAGCGAUGACGGCCCUAUGGGGUUUGUAAAGCUCUGUUGUAAGCCAUGAAUGAUAGCUUGAGGAAAUGCAAGUUAUUUGACGACAGCUUACCAGAAAGCCACGGCUAACUACGUGCCAGCCGCUGC